UAGAGGCGGCCAUUCGGGCGGGCCGGUGCGGUUCGGGCCGGUUUAGGCGGUUUCUGAACCGUCGCCGGUGAAACCGUAACCGGCACGCCAAGACUAGCGGUCCGGUCCGUGCCGGGCCGGGCUGGAGAAAACGAAAUUCGUAACCGUGUUAUACGGUUUACACGGGUUAAACGGUUCGACGGUUCGGGCCGGUUAAUACGGGUUCGCGGUUCGCGGUUCAUAAUUCGACGGUUCAUCACUCAUCAAUUGUGUCUGUAUCACAAUCACUUACUAUCACUGUGUGCUGCUUUUUGUUUUUUUUUUAAUUUUAAUUUUAUUUUGUUUUAUAAUAACAGGUA
rnacentral:lncRNA from 1 species